GUGAUUGGGAGAAGGUUCUGUGGUCAGACGAGACCAAAAUUGAACUAUUUGGCCUAAACUCUACUCGUCAU